rnacentral:rRNA from 1 species
AUUGAACGCUGGCGGCAGGCUUAACACAUGCAAGUCGAGCGGGGGAGGUUGCUUCGGUAAUUGACCUAGCGGCGGACGGGUGAGUAAUACUUAGGAAUCUGCCUAUUAAUGGGGGACAACAUCUCGAAAGGGAUGCUAAUACCGCAUACGCCCUACGGGGGAAAGCAGGGGAUCACUUGUGACCUUGCGUUAAUAGAUGAGCCUAAGUCGGAUUAGCUAGCUGGUGGGGUAAAGGCCUACCAAGGCGACGAUCUGUAGCGGGUCUGAGAGGAUGAUCCGCCACACUGGGACUGAGACACGGCCCAGACUCCUACGGGAGGCAGCAGUGGGGAGUAUUGGACAAUGGGGGGAACCCUGAUCCAGCCAUGCCGCGUGUGUGAAGAAGGCCUUAUGGUUGUAAAGCACUUUAAGCGAGGAGGAGGCUCUUUUGGUUAAUACCCAAGAUGAGUGGACGUUACUCGCAGAAUAAGCACCGGCUAACUCUGUGCCAGCCGCCGCGGUAACAC